CAUUGAAACACCGAUUCUCGUACGAUCACCGAAGUUAAGCAACGCAGAGCCUGGUCAGUACCUAGAUGGCUGACCCCUUGGGAAUAGCAGAUGCUGUAA